UUUUGGGGGUAGAUGUCAAAUGUCAUUUAUUUUUUUGUUUUUGUUUGGUUGGUUUUUGUUUUGUUAAGUGCGCAAAAAAAUGUAAGUAAAUAAUAAAUAAAAUUGUCAAAAACAUACAAAUAAGUUAUUUCUAACCUUCUAGGCCUACAACUAAUGCUAAGCAGUUGGAUUUGCUGGUAGCUUUUAUGGAAACCAAUCCAAACAUAGCAAAAAAUUACUUGCCGACGAGCCAAGCCAAAUCCAAAAUUCUUUGGAAGGCUUUGACUGAUAAGCUAAAUGCAUGCGGUCCUCCAGAGAAACCAAUGGAUGGUUGGAAAAGUGUAUGGAAAGAUUUUAGGUACACAUAUUUGAAUGCGUCCUUGUUCAAACGAUAAAGAAGCUUGAACCUGGCAAAUAUUUAAGGAGUUUUUUUUUAAUACUAGAUGGAAAGGAUUUCACUUUACUUACGUUGAACUUGGAAGGCUCAUUGGGUUCGAUGAAUCUCUUAAAACUCUUCUUUUUAUACGCAUUUCCUCUUCUUCGUUAGUUUGGGAUUCAUCUUCGCUUUCAAGGAAAUAGUCGCAGUGAAAAAACAUUUUAGAGAAUUUAUGCAAAUUACAUUUAUUUUUGAAACUUC